GCAAUUUCUCAGCCUUUUAGCUAAGACCAAGUGUAGUAUCUGUUCUUACCAGUUUAAUAUCAGAUACAUCCUCUAUGUGAGGACAAUAUAUUAAAUGGGUUUUUGGAGCAAGGAGAUGCAGAUAGGAGUUUGUUUUAUCCACUCCAUGUAUUGAGCUGGUAUUGCUAUAUUACCAGGAAUGGUGAAACCCUC
rnacentral:snRNA from 1 species